rnacentral:rRNA from 1 species
GCAUAUCAAUAAGCGGAGGAAAAGAAACUAACAAGGAUUCCCCUAGUAAUGGCGAAUGAAGAGGGAAAAGCUCAAAUUUUAAAUCUACCUGGUUCCCAGGUCGAGUUGUAAUUUGAAGAAGCGAUAUCGGUGUGGAGGUCUGGUUCAAGUUCUUUGGAACAAGACAUCAUGGAGGGUGAGAAUCCCGUGCAUGAUCAGACCAAGAUACUUAAUAUUCGCUUUCUAAGAGUCGAGUUGUUUGGGAAUGCAGCUCAAAUUGGGUGGUAGACUUCACCUAAGGCUAAAUAUCAGCGAGAGACCGAUAGCGAACAAGUACUGUGAAGGAAAGAUGAAAAGAACUUUGAAAAGAGAGUUAAAUAGUACGUGAAAUUGUUGAAAGGGAAACGAUUGAAGUCAGUCAUGCCAGUGAAAAUUCAGUUUGGUGGGUUUUGGGUUCAGGAGUUGAGGCAGGGUCAAACCGUUUCUCUUUUGAUCUUGGAAUUUGUCAGAUGCACUUUUUCUUUGGCAGGUCAGCGUCGAUUUCGGAGGUUGUAAAAUACUUGGGGAAAAGUAGCUCUGCUUCGGGAGAGUGUUUAUAGACCUUGGGUGAUGCGGCCUGCGGGAUCGAGGAUUGCAGCAAAUGCUUUUGGCUUGUCGCCUGAUCUCUGGACAGUCAUCUCGCUUGUAUCAACAUUCUUGGUACCGGUGAGUAAUGGUGCUCAUAGGUUAGAGCGAUCAAAAAUUUGCUAAGGAUGCUGACGUAAUGGCUUUAAACGAC